GGCACCUUGACGGAGUGGUUAACGUGAUGCCCUGCUAUCGUUAUAUGCGAAGUUCAGGCAUUUCCUUCGGGGUAAGUUUCGGCGAGGCCUUCACCAAGAUACAUACUAAUAUAUCACAGAGCGUGCGUUCGAAUCGCACAGGUGUCG